CUGACUCUUCUCUUCUGUGUUUUUUUCCAGAACAUUCUGGAUGAAAGUUAUGGGAGAGUAUGUGACCCAGUGUACUUCCAACAAAGUGGAGAAGUACAAGCAAUGAGAUGGACUGCCAGCAGCUCCCUGGACUCCUUCUCCCCAAGGGGAAAAGGGAACUUCCAGCAUCUAUGAGGAAACAGAAUUUCUUUUGAUCACAGAAGAAAAGAAAAGAAUAUUAACCAUGGCGUGUCCACCAGUGAGAGGGUUUCUGUGCAUCAGCUCUUGGAGGGGACAAGGAGCCUUGGUCAGAGAGGACAGAUUGGAAGUAACUGGGUGUGGUUUCCCUGCUGCCCCGGCCUUGGGCUCAGCACCAGAUUUCCUAUCUGGUGGCUGUACCAUUGAGUCCCAGUCUUCCCAGAGGGUAUGUUGGCAGCUUCAAAAUAUGAGCCUUAAAUGACUCUAGUUGAGAACAUGGUGGAAG
rnacentral:lncRNA from 1 species